GUCCUGCCGUCGUGCGCCAUUUGUGUUGCAGGAAAUUACGAGACUCAGACCUUGGAAUCCAAAAAUAAGUUGGUUUUAUUUGCGCAAACAGGUUCAGAGUAUUUUAGUGAGAGUCACUUCUGAACAACUUUCUUAUUGAACAGCACAUGCCUAUAUACUUCUUCAGAAGGGGCAAAACACAGAAAUAUAACUUGUCAGUUAUUCAUUGGUUACUUGAAACACAGCUUUCCCCCUCCCCUGUUGCUAGGCUAGGAUGGCUGGAUGUCACAAACCCAUCUUGCUAAACUCCCUAGCUUGUGGUUUUGUUACAAACGAGACAAGGUAUCUUGGCAAAUAUGACUUUGUGGCCGAUAGAUGAUCCUUGUGGUUUGGCAUUUCACAGUUCCUUGUUCUUCCUCUUCCUAA